rnacentral:rRNA from 1 species
GACUACUAGGGUAUCUAAUCCUGUUUGCUACCCACGCUCUCGCGUCUCAGCGUCAGUAUAGGGCCAGGAAGUCGCCUUCGCCACCGGUGUUCCUCCUGAUAUCUACGAAUUUCACCUCUACACCAGGAAUUCCACUUCCCUCUCCCCUACUCGAGCCUGACAGUUUCAAAUGCACUUCCUGGGUUAAGCCCAGGGCUUUCACAUCUGACACAUCAGGCCGCCUACACGCUCUUUACGCCCAAUAAUUCCGAACAACGCUUGCACCCCCCGUAUUACCGCGGCUGCUGGCACGGAGUUAGCCGGUGCUUCCUCUGUUGGUACCGUCAAGCCUGAAGGGUAUUAACCAACAGGCAUUUCUUCCCAACUGACAGAGCUUUACGAUCCGAAGACCUUCCUCACUCACGCGGCGUUGCUGCGUCAGGGUUUCCCCCAUUGCGCAAUAUUCCUCACUGCAGCCCCCCGUAGG